CGUUGGCACGCUAGUAACUCACACAGCUGCAGCGUGAAUCACUUUCAAUGUAUUGGUCACGCGUGUUACACCGCACCCGUACCCCGCACUUGCAACUCUGUACUGUGCUUGCAGAUCCAUGACAUGGAUAGUAACUACCGGUAGUCUCACGGCGUUCAAUGUUUCAUAUUGACCUUAGAAAUACUGCUGCACUUUCAACCACCUCUUUUACGCCCAUUGCCCACAUCGCAUUCAGCUCCUUCUUCUGCAUAGAAUCAAAUGGCAUUCCUUGUGCAAUGACUGUAGCCCACACAUCUACUUUGACCUUUCUUCUUCUCUCUGCUGAGCUUUGCCGUGACCAUUGCUGUUGCAGCACGUAUGCUGUCUGCCUAUAAAAGCUGCUGUUCACAAUUCUCUAGACGCCAGUUAGAAGUUCAGUUAGAAACUACAGUUAGAAAGGCCGGUUAGAAGGGCCAGUUAGAACCUUCAGUAAUGUCAGUUUAGAGUUAGAGUCAGAGUUAAUGUUUAAUAAUUAUUAACAGUGUGUUCACUGAGACCCGUCUGCAUUUGCCUCCGAGAGAGACUGCGGCCCGUUACAGAAUUGGUGCCAGCGGUGGGAUACGCUACAGAAAUGGUGGCAGCGGUGGGAUUCGUUACAGAAAUGGUGGCAGCGGUGGUACAAUUUUAUAAUUGCUAGAUUCGAACCCACCUAGUAUCUGUAUUGCAUUGAUGGCAGCGGCGCUACAGAAUUGAUGGCAGCGGUAAAUUGUUUUAUUGGUGUAACCGGUACCAACAUGGCCCAACCUGAUGCGCCAGUCGCCGCUACUCCUUCGCCCGCCACGUCUCCCCCAAGCCCGAAAUGAUGACGGACAGCGUCUCUACCGAUCAAGCUCCGUGUCCAAUUCCUGUGAUCUGCUGCUGCGCUCCAGCCAGUACUUCAAUGUCAGUUGUCCUCAUUGCGUCCGGAUAUCAACCGAGGCUGUUCAUGAAUACAUACCUGUAUAUGCAAGUCAUCCAUUCUGCCUAUCUUCUUCCGUCGAGGUUAUUCCGACGCGACCAUGCAUGCCACCAGUGCCUUCUAAUCUCAGUCGAUUGUCAGAGUCCGGCUAUAUCAACUUAUGUCACUCGCCCAGUCUAGUCUGCGCAUCUCCAUGAUCUUCUAUCAGUGUUCGUCACUUUUUGUUCUGCUACUCCUACUCUAAUCACGAGGACGUGAUUCUGUUUAAAGAAGGAAGGUGUAGCGUUGGCACGCUAGUAACUCACACAGCUGCAGCGUGAAUCACUUUCAAUGUAUUGGUCACGCGUGUUACACCGCACCCGUACCCCGCACUUGCAACUCUGUACUGUGCUUGCAGAUCCAUGACAUGGAUAGUAACUACCGGUAGUCUCACGGCGUUCAAUGUUUCAUAUUGACCUUAGAAAUACUGCUGCACUUUCAACCACCUCUUUUACGCCCAUUGCCCACAUCGCAUUCAGCUCCUUCUUCUGCAUAGAAUCAAAUGGCAUUCCUUGUGCAAUGACUGUAGCCCACACAUCUACUUUGACCUUUCUUCUUCUCUCUGCUGAGCUUUGCCGUGACCAUUGCUGUUGCAGCACGUAUGCUGUCUGCCUAUAAAAGCUGCUGUUCACAAUUCUCUAGACGCCAGUUAGAAGUUCAGUUAGAAACUACAGUUAGAAAGGCCGGUUAGAAGGGCCAGUUAGAACCUUCAGUAAUGUCAGUUUAGAGUUAGAGUCAGAGUUAAUGUUUAAUAAUUAUUAACAGUGUGUUCACUGA